GGGGAUAUAGCUCAGCUGGUAGAGCGCUUGCAUGGCAUGCAAGAGGUCGUCGGUUCGAUCCCGAUUAUCUCCACCA
rnacentral:tRNA from 1 species